rnacentral:rRNA from 1 species
ACGCUCGACACCUACGGGAGGCGGCAGUGGGGAAUAUUGCACAAUGGGGGAAACCCGUGAUGCAGCGACGCCGCGUGAGCGAAGAAGUAUUUCGGUAUGUAAAGCUCUAUCAGCAGGGAAGAAACUGACGGUACCUGACUAAGAAGCACCGGCUAAAUACGUGCCAGUAGCCGCGGUAAUCUGAGCGGGCUGGCAAGGC